CCUACGGGAGGCAGCAGUGAGGAAUAUUGGUCAAUGGCCGGAAGUCUGAACCAGCCAAGCAGCGUGAAGGACGAAGGUGCCAAGCAUUGUAAACUUCUUUUGUCAAGGAAUAAAAUGAGGCUCGUGAGCCUUACCGCAUGUACUUUAUGAAAAAGCAUCGGCUAACUCCGUGCCAGCAGCCGCGGUAAUACGGAGGAUCCGAGCGUUAUCCGGAUUUAUUGGGUUUAAAGGGGGCGAAGGCGGAAGGUCAAGUCAGCGGUAAAAUUGAGCGGCUCAACCUAUACUAGCCGUUGAAACUGGUAGUCUUGAGUGAGGGAGAAGUAUGCGGAAUGCGUGGUGUAGCGGUGAAAUGCAUAGAUAUCACGAAGAACUCCGAUUGCGAAGGCAGCAUACCGGAGUGCAACUGACGCUCAUGCACGAAAGUGUGGGUAUCGAACAGGAUUAGAUACCCCAGUAGUC
rnacentral:rRNA from 1 species